GGGGAAUCUUGCACAAUGGGGGCAACCCUGAUGCAGCGACGCCGCGUGAGCGAUGAAGCCCUUCGGGGCGUAAAGCUCUUUCGACCGGAACGAUAAUGACGGUACCGGGAGAAGAAGCUGCGGCUAACUACGUGCCAGCAGCCGCGGUAAUACGUAGGCAGCAAGCGUUGUUCGGAGUUACUGGGCGUAAAGAGUGCGUAGGCGGUUUUCUAAGUUCGGUGUGAAAUCUCCCGGCUUAACUGGGAGGGUGCGCCGAAGACUGGGAAGCUGGAGUGUGGGAAAGGCAGGCGGAAUUCCAGGUGUAGCGGUGAAAUGCGUAGAUAUCAGGAGGAACACCGGCGGUGUAGACGGCUUGCUAGACCAUAACUGACGCUGAGGCACGAAAGCGUGGGUAGCAAACA
rnacentral:rRNA from 1 species